rnacentral:rRNA from 1 species
UACGAAGGGGGCUAGCGUUGUUCGGAGUUACUGGGCGUAAAGGGCGCGUAGGCGGCGCACCAAGUCAGAUGUGAAAGCCCCGGGCUUAACCUGGGAAUUGCAUUUGAGACUGAAGGGCUUGAGUUUCGGAGAGGUGGGUGGAAUUCCCAGUGUAGAGGUGAAAUUCGUAGAUAUUGGGAAGAACACCGGUGGCGAAGGCGGCCCACUGGACGAACACUGACGCUGAGGCGCGAAAGCGUGGGGAGCAAACAGG